UACAGAGGGGGCAAGCGUUGUUCGGAAUUACUGGGCGUAAAGGGCGCGUAGGCGGCCCGCUAAGUCGAACGUGAAAUCCCCGGGCUCAACCCGGGAACUGCGUCCGAUACUGGUGGGCUUGAAUCCGGGAGAGGGAUGCGGAAUUCCAGGUGUAGCGGUGAAAUGCGUAGAGAUGCGGAGGAACACCGAUGGCGAAGGCAGCCCCCUGGGCUGACACUGACGCUCAGGCACGAAAGCGUGGGGAGCAAACAGG
rnacentral:rRNA from 1 species